rnacentral:sRNA from 1 species
AAGGCCCACAAUUAAGACCAGUGAGAGGCAAUGCUCUAACACAUUCUUCUGUUUCAUCUAUUUCCUAGACACGUGUUCUUUAUGAAUUCCUGCAACCUGGAAGUCAAAGGGUCCUUCCUGUGUGUUUAUAGUUUGAAUUCCUUCAACUACACCCACAGUCCAAAAGCAGACUCACUGUGUCCCAGGCUACCAGUUCCUCCAAGCAAGUCAUUUCCCUUAUUUAACCGAUGUGUCCCUCAAACACCUGAGUGCUACUCCCUAUUUGCAUCUGUUUUGAUAAAUGAUGUUGACACCCUCCACCGAAUUCUAAGUGGAAUCAUGUCGGGAAGAGAUACAAUCCUUGGCCUGUGUAUCCUCGCAUUAGCCUUGUCUUUGGCCAUGAUGUUUACCUUCAGAUUCAUCACCACCCUUCUGGUUCACAUUUUCAUUUCAUUGGUUAUUUUGGGAUUGUUGUUUGUCUGCGGUGUUUUAUGGUGGCUGUAUUAUGACUAUACCAAUGAUCUCAGCAUAGAAUUGGACACAGAAAGGGAAAAUAUGAAGUGCGUGCUGGGGUUUGCUAUCGUAUCUACAGGCAUCACGGCAGUGCUGCUCAUCUUGAUUUUUGUUCUCAGAAAGAGAAUAAAAUUGACAGUUGAGCUUUUCCAAAUCACAAAUAAAGCCAUCAGCAGUGCUCCCUUCCUGCUGUUCCAGCCACUGUGGACAUUUGCCAUCCUCAUUUUCUUCUGGGUCCUCUGGGUGGCUGUGCUGCUGAGCCUGGGAACUGCAGGAGCUGCCCAGGUUAUGGAAGGUGGCCAAGUGGAAUAUAAGCCCCUUUCGGGCAUUCGGUACAUGUGGUCGUACCAUUUAAUUGGCCUCAUCUGGACUAGUGAAUUCAUCCUUGCGUGCCAGCAAAUGACUAUAGCUGGGGCAGUGGUUACUUGUUAUUUCAACAGAAGUAAAAAUGACCCUCCUGAUCGUCCCAUCCUUUCGUCUCUCUCCAUUCUCUUCUUCUACCAUCAAGGAACCGUUGUGAAAGGGUCAUUUUUAAUCUCUGUGGUGAGGAUUCCAAGAAUCAUUGUCAUGUACAUGCAAAACGCACUGAAAGAACAGCAGCAUGGUGCAUUGUCCAGGUACCUGUUCCGAUGCUGCUACUGCUGUUUCUGGUGUCUUGACAAAUACCUGCUCCAUCUCAACCAGGAAAUUCAUCUGACAUCUGACUGAAAAUCUCUAAGACCCGCACCAUGGGAGGCUGAUUACUGCAGUACACUCCACACUGAUUUCCUUACGAUGUGUUUGAAGGGGUGUACAAAAGGGUUAAUUUGUAUAUCAUGAAAUAAAAAACUUUCAUCCUUUACGCAAACCAAAAGGAAUGACAACAACCCAAGCAGAAUGCAUAUACUACGACUGCUAUUAAUGGGACAGAUUUCUGUACAUCAGCAAAAGAUGCAUUCAAAAUCUUGUCC